CUUAGACCUUAUCGAAUAUGAUAAUAAAUAUUCUAAUCUGUUUUAACAAAGUAUAUUCGAAAUAUUCUAAAAUAUAUCGCUAUCAUAUCCGUUUGCCCCACAGUUACCUUAUUAUUAUUAUAUUUAUCCCUGAUGUUCUAAUAAUCCGAAUAAUGAUUCUAAGAAGGUGGGGUUGCGUAAAAGGAAACAUCCAAUCAAAAAUUAGAACAGUGUCUCUAAACAGUAGGAGCAAAUUGGGCAAAGAUAUGAGAAAGUGACCAAUAUUCGACCGCAGUAAAGCUAAAAACAAAAAUACGGAUGGCCAAAAAGGUAGUUUUUAUGGAGCGUUUUCAUAUUUUUCUGUAUUCGAAAAC
rnacentral:lncRNA from 1 species